CCUACGGGUGGCAGCAGUGAGGAAUAUUGGUCAAUGGACGAGAGUCUGAACCAGCCAAGUAUCGUGAAGGAUGACUGCUCUAUGGGUUGUAAACUUCUUUUAUAUGGGAAUAAAAUGUUCCACGUGUGGGUUUUUGUAUGUACCAUAUGAAUAAGGAUCGGCUAACUCCGUGCCAGCAGCCGCGGUAAUACGGAGGAUCCGAGCGUUAUCCGGAUUUAUUGGGUUUAAAGGGAGCGUAGGUGGAUUGUUAAGUCAGUUGUGAAAGUUUGCGGCUCAACCGUAAAAUUGCAGUUGAAACUGGCAGUCUUGAGUACAGUAGAGGUGGGCGGAAUGCGUGGUGUAGCGGUGAAAUGCUUAGAUAUCACGAAGAACUCCGAUUGCGAAGGCAGCUCACUAGACUGCAACUGACACUGAAGCUCGAAAGUGUGGGUAUCAAACAGGAUUAGAUACCCCUGUAGUC
rnacentral:rRNA from 1 species